rnacentral:lncRNA from 1 species
CCCUCCAUUUAAUAAAAAAACAAGGAAGAGAAAAGGGGAUUAAUCCCAGGAGGUGAAAAACCCUCAUCCUCAUCUUCUCUCACGCGGUGGCCCAAGAGGUGGAAUCCGUCUUCUUCCUCGGUGCCAACGGUCCAGACGCGGGAAUGGAGGGAGCCACGAUGAUAGCCGAAGGUUCUGAUGGUGGCGGUUUAUGGUGGUUCACGGUGGUCCAAUAGCGGUGGUGGUGAUGAGUUCGUUCAUGUGGCGAUGACGCGGUGGUUAUGGUGAGGUGCGGUGGUUCGAGGUUCGGGUCAUGGUGGUUUAAUGGAUUCAUGAUGAAAGAAUGGUAUCUCUAGAGGUAGUGCUUUACGGUGGUUCAGUAAUCUAUACUCGCGGUGGCUCGUGGUGGUUUGCGAUGGCUUUCCGAUUCGAGGCUUCCCUUCUCACGAUGCAACAAGAUGAGUCUCUGUCCAAGAGGGCACACGAUGCCCCUGAGACCCAUUACAUCACUUCACAUGCUUGAUUAGGUUUUGGGACCUAUCCCUCAAUCAUGGAAUCACAGAUCCGCGGGAAAUCGGUAAGGGACCAAAUCCCUCAUAUUGAUAUUUACGUUUCUUUUAUUGCAUGCUAUUCUUGAUUGAUGAGAUGCAUAUAAAAAACGUAUGCGGGUUGAUGUUAAUCUGGAAAUGAAUUGUAUUAUUUUGGUUUAAGGUCACUGCGAUGCAUUGCUUCCAUUAUUAUCGCUUUAAUGAUCUACCUCAUUUUUUCUUUAAUCGCAUUCUGAUUUAAUUACACAAACCUAUGUGCAUUAUUAAAAUGAUGAUGUACAGUCUUGUUUGAUUACUAUUUUAGUUUCGAACUAUUGAUAAUUAGCUGUAACAUGUCAGACAAACGUAACCCAGGAGGCAGGGACAAAUGGUUAGACAAGAGGUUCCGUAAGGACACAUGGGCAGGUCACUUUAAUAUUUGGGUGUGCCAAUAGUGUCGCAUAAGGCUAUUACAACCAAGAGGAGACAUUAUACCAUAAAAUAUAUGUUGUAUGCUGAUUUUUUAAGUGCAGGAACAGUAAAAAAAUAAUGACAUUAACACACCAAUCCAUGAAAAUUAUGAAGUCCGAAUAUGGAUUUUAAUACUAACCUUAGGUAGCAAUUCGAUUUGGCUGAAUCGUUUUACCGUAUUAUCUCUGAACUAUCCCUCUGAUUCUGCUGAGCAACGUCUCCGUGUGUAUCUAUUCCUGAAUUUGUGUGAUGCACGUGUUAUAUGAUUUCUGCCUACUUCAGCAUAUUACGUAUUCUCUGAGUUGUUAUGUGUAUAUGCAGGGAUUGCUCUCUAGUUGUCAUAUGGAGUGUAUGGUUGUGGUAUGCUGAUUUCACAAUAUAUGUGUGAUAUGUAUGUGUUCUCCCCUGUGACUGUGUAUGAUAGCUUGUUCUCUCUGAUUGUUCCUUUUUUUUUGGCCCCCUCUCCCCUGAUUAUUUCUGCCCUUUUAUAAUGCUUUAGGUUUCUAUGUGAAAACCUCUUGGGUUGCUCCUUAAGAUUCAGUAACGUACAUGGCUUUUUGCUCUCUGUUUUACUGCAUUAAGGUUUCUCAUGAAUGCUGCCAUUUAUUUAUUUUAGCCUUCAUUGCUAAUUGAUGCUGUAACUGCCAGUAUAAUCAUUGCCUUUCACCUGAACUCUCUGAUUUCUGCCUGCUGGAAUUUAUACUGAAAAUAGUAAUAUGUUGUUUGUAAAUGAAUUGAUUGAUUUAUGAACUGCCUUUGUUCUUUAUGGCUGGUUUAUGAUUGGAUUGACAACCUACGGAUGUCCCCUACUGGUUCGUAAGUGAGAUUGGCUAUUUGCUGGUUUGCCUUUUACUGAUUCCAUUUGGCUGAUUGUAACAACUCUGCCCUUUGGUAUGUAUGUGUUUGUGAUAGCCUUUUCUGCUCUGAUAUGGGUGUUUGUGUUGACUAGAUAUUUGCACCAACUCCCGCCUUGGCUAGCACGUCAUUCAUACAACCAUUCUGCCUUGCAUCUCAAGUUCCUCAAUCUUUAUUGCUAUAACCGAGGCUUCAUCAAAUUUGCCAGGGUCAAUCUUGGAAAUAGAAGAAACCCAAUUUAAGUGUGUCCGAAUAUUUAAGGUUUCAUUAUGCCAACGAAAGAUGUUUAAAGAGAGCUCCUGCGAGAGACUAAUUGACACUUGUAAUAAUGUAGGAUAUAUUCAUUGUCCUUCAUGUAGCCAGGUGGUUCCUACUAUGAUGGGGGUUUGAAGUGUAUUCACCUAUUUCCUUUUUGUACACUG